rnacentral:rRNA from 1 species
AUUGAACGCUGGCGGCAGGCCUAACACAUGCAAGUCGAGCGGUAGAGAGAAGCUUGCUUCUCUUGAGAGCGGCGGACGGGUGAGUAAUGCCUAGGAAUCUGCCUGGUAGUGGGGGAUAACGUUCGGAAACGGACGCUAAUACCGCAUACGUCCUACGGGAGAAAGCAAGGGACCUUCGGGCCUUGCGCUAUCAGAUGAGCCUAGGUCGGAUUAGCUAGUCGGUGAGGUAAUGGCUCACCAAGGCGACGAUCCGUAACUGGUCUGAGAGGAUGAUCAGUCACACUGGAACUGAGACACGGUCCAGACUCCUACGGGAGGCAGCAGUGGGGAAUAUUGGACAAUGGGCGAAAGCCUGAUCCAGCCAUGCCGCGUGUGUGAAGAAGGUCUUCGGAUUGUAAAGCACUUUAAGUUGGGAGGAAGGGUUGUAGAUUAAUACUCUGCAAUUUUGACGUUACCGACAGAAUAAGCACCGGCUAACUCUGUGCCAGCCGCCGCGGUAA